AGUGGCGGGCGGGUGAGUAACGCGUGGGUAACCUGCCUCAUACAGGGGGAUAACAGUUAGAAAUGACUGCUAAUACCGCAUAAGACCACAGCACCGCAUGGUGCAGGGGUAAAAACUCCGGUGGUAUGAGAUGGACCCGCGUCUGAUUAGGUAGUUGGUGGGGUAACGGCCUACCAAGCCGACGAUCAGUAGCCGACCUGAGAGGGUGACCGGCCACAUUGGGACUGAGACACGGCCCAA
rnacentral:rRNA from 1 species